CCUCACUCUCCUCCCCCUUUCUCUCUCUCUCUCUCUCUCUCUCUCUCUCUCUCUCUCUCUCUCCCACUCCUUCUCCCCCUCUCUCUCUCUCUCUCUCUCUCUGUGUGUGUGUGUGUGUGUGUGUACAUAUUCACAUGUGUGGAGAUGGGUGGGGAGCAGAGGAUGAUGUUAGGACAUCCUCUUCUAUUUGUUUCUCUACCUUAUUUUUUCAGGCAGACUCUCUCCUUGGCUUGCAGCUCACCAUUUUGGCUAGAAUGACUGGCUGACCCCCAGUACAAGAGAUGGUGCCACUCAGACUCAAGGUGAGUCUUAGCUCUUCAGUUAAACCUCUCUGAUCACAGCCUCAAAGACACCUCUACCCCAGAAGAAGUCUCCUAGGUGACUCCAAAUCCAGUCAAGUUGACAGUGAAGACUAAUUGAUCAUCACAGAGGCAAGCACAGACAUAAAGCAGAAACUCGAGCCGGCUUUCAUUCAAGCAGAAGGGCACCCCAACAUCGCGUUAUUGACAGGAGUUCUGAAAACCCUGACAGCUGCAGAAAUUGUGCCGUUGAAGCUCAAUUCCCCGGAGUUGGGAAUAAUAUACUGAUGGUAUUAAUUCUGUUUGGAAUUGUUAAAAUAAGAAAAGGUUACAGGGCUGAGGAAGGGACCUGCCUUUUUCUUCCUGCGAACAAAGGCAUACCUUGUGUCUUCCCUGGUGUCCUUGGAAUGUCAUUUCCAACCUUCUGAAACUGUAUCUGAUUAUCCAUGUGGCAAUUAAUCAUAAUUAAGCAGGCCUGAGGUUUGGAGAGGUACAAAGGAGGUGGCUAAGAGCUAGCUGGCUCUGGUUUGUAACAGCCCCCUUCUCCAUUGGCCCACACAACCUCUGCUUCAGAAGCCCAGAGAAGAGGUGGCAUAGGGAAGGGAGGUGAGAGGGACCCCCUGCAUAAAAUUUCCAGGGGGUGGGGUGCGCAGGGCAGAUCACAAGCUUCCUUCUUGUCCCUUCCCUGGGUGAUCGCCAUUCCUUCCGGGUUCCAGCAUGCUGGAAGCCAGGUAACGAAUUCCUUUUUUAAUGCCAAGUGAUUUGGAGCCAUUCAUACAAGCCAGAUUUUCCCCAUUUAUUACAGGAAAACAUUCAAUCAUUAUAUGCUGGCACGGGAUCAGGGGCACAUGGAAUUCUCUUCUGCCCGCUCCACCCCCAAUGAGCAUUUAAAAGCUUAGCAAGCCCAGAAUGCCUUCUUAUUAAAAAUUUUUAUAUAUUUAUAAUUAAAAUACAGAGCUGGCAUUCGAAUCGUUUUAACAGAUGUAAUCGGACACGCAAGGCUUUCCCGAGCCCAGGUCAGGCAAGAAACAAUGGCUGCUUUAACUCUAGCCUCAGCUCAGGUUUCUGUUUGCACAUGGGCCCAAUUUGUACCAUUUAUGAUUAGGUUUAAGUGAGUUGAUGUGCGAUUUACUUAGGAGAAUUGCCAUUUCAGAAUAUAUUAUGAUACUCUCCAUAUAGACGUGUGGCCGAAGCUUGUCCUGCCUGCAACCGGACUUUUGCUUUGCUGACUGUGGACUUGCAUCAUGACCGCCAGCCCCUGACCUCUGGCUGGGCUUUCCCUUGGCAUACAAAGUGUUGAAGCACUGUUUAAGCAGAGAAUGCUAUGACACCAAUGGAGGGCCCUGAGACUUAUAUGUACCUGGCCAGCACAGAAAAGUGACAUCCCAACUGAGGCUCCAGUCUCUCUAAGUCUGUACUCUCUGUUAGUGCUCAUAGAAGGUACAGUCCCCAGAGAACCUUUGUAGUCCAGGCUUCUGGGGACAGGAGAUCUGCUAUCCCCCGGGAAAAGAAGGCUUAUCCCAGUGGUAAGGGGUUUGCUUGUCACAAUUUUUCCACUGUCCAUGAUGGUAUAUUGAACUGGGGAGCCUUUUAAUAUCACACUGCAGACAAGUGGUAAAUGCCCUGCACUGCCUUUGCAAUAAGCAAGUAACUGUGAUAAAUUUUACAGCACGAGGCAAUGAGCCCAGCAUUCUGUCUGGAGGGAGGACAUGCCUACCACAAUGGGUGACCAUUUCCAUAUCCAGUGCCCCUCUGUAAGAGUCCUUUCCCCAGGAUCUCAGUAGCAGUUGCUUGCCACCUCAGUUAUUUCUAGUAUCCUUGGUGCCUGCACUGGUGUGCAAGUGUUUCAUGGACCACAGUAUAAAGGUCUUCUGGUCUAGGUCCCAACACUCCAGAUGUUUGGGGGCAGGGGGUUCAUAUCCCUUCUUCCCUAGAGACACACACACAGCUCAUGCCUUCAGAGGUCCCCUGGGCACGUUCAUUAUGCUUCACAUCUCAAAUCAACUGUGAUCUUCCCCAAGUUUCUAAAUUCCUCACCCAAUCCUGACCCUCAGAGGUAACUAGACUUCACUUUGGCUUUUGUGGAUAUUUCUAAAAGAAUUUAAACGUUUUUAUUUUCCUUUUUUGGGAUGAGGGGAAGUGGGCAGUUGCUUCUUAUCCCCACUAGUUGACCAACUCUGUACUUUGAUUUUUGUCAGGAGGUUUGCUCAGGCUAGCUAAGAAAGGUGACUUUUGGGGUCUUCAAAAAGACAGCUCUCAGUUGUUCCACAGUAGGUCACCUUCCCUUCCUGGGUUGUGAGUCUCCCACACUAUGCUGGCUCAUCUUGUACCUUUAAGCUAGGCUAUGCUGGCCAAGAGGACAGAUGCCAGGUGCUAUAUCCCUUGUCUGCCAAUGCCUUCCUCUCCCCAACAUAUCAACACAGAGCUGACCCCAUGAAUUCACCUUCCCUGGCCCUUUUCCCACUUUUCAGCCCAUCACCCUCCUCACUCAGUGAGCACAAGGAGCCUCCUGAGGAAAGGACAUAGACCCAAGGGAGGUGGGUAACGGGGCUUGGGAGCUUGAAACCUGCCUUUCACUGGUGGAAAGCCCUGCCCUCCAGCCAUCACUUCUUCCCAUUCGUAUCUGGUUUGACACGUGACCAGCAGCUGGAAAUCCCAUAAAGAGAAAUUAAUAACUGCAAUUCCAGUGCCUUCCAAAAGAAACAGCUAUGAGAGGAGAAAAAGAAAAUAAACACCUGACCCAUUCACAGGGUCUCCCCUACUUCCUAAGGCCAUGAGGAUAAUCACAGGAAGAACAGGUAGAUAAACAAUGAAUGUAAAGGACAGGGAGAGGAGCAGCAUUCUAAAGGGGCUCGGGGAUCUGCUUACUGCCACAGUCCUCUGGAAGCCAGAUUACUGAGUUGUGGAUUUAACAGCACCAUGUGAAUGAUUGCCCUGAGAAAUAGUUUGAAUGAGAAAUAUCCCCUACUUGGGAAUACUUGGCCUCCCAGUUGGUUGUGCUGUUGGGGAUAUUUAGGAAAUAGAACCUGGUUAGAGGAAGUCUAUCACUGAAGUCGGGGUUUGAGAGUUUAUAUGCUCUUCCCACUUCCUGUUUGCUGUUGCUGCUUUAUGUUUGUGCUUAAAAUGUGACCUCUCAGGAUCCUGCUCAGUCAUGCCUACUGCCUGCUUGCCAUACUUCUGUGCCCUGAUGGACACUUACUCCUCUGAAGCCAUGAGGCAAAAUAAACUCUACUCAUAAGCACCUUUGGUCACAACAGCAGAGAAGUAGCUAAGAGACUCCACAGGACCAUGUGCUUGGAAGCCUGGGCACACAAAACUAGGGAACCAAGGUCUUCAUGCUUCGUAACCCAAGAAUGAACAGGGUUCGGUGUGACUGAAGAGAUGUUAUAAAGGCUGAGUGACUAGCCAUGAAUGAAUGUGUCCCAGGCUUCUUUGUACUUGACUCCAGGGACCAGCCUCUAAACAGAAGCUCCUAGGAUCCUGGUCUAAGUCAAAGUGGUCUUCUCAACUCAUAACUGAGGAAGAGUCCGGAUCUAAGUAAUUGUUGUUUUCAUUAGAAAUUUUACUCCACAGAUAAGACACUUGUGCAUAAUCUAGAUGGCCAAUAUCUUUCUAGCCUCAGCUCUCUAGGAGACAGAUGUAGAAACAGGGGCUUGGGUGUGGUCAUUGGCUAGCCAUUGAGUUCUCCUCCCAGUAGCUUAAGAAUAAUUUUCUCUCAGGAACAGAGACAAGGACGGUAGCCUGUGCUACCUCUGCAGCCUAGAUCUUUCUGCCUCUCCUCUCCAGGAUGAGAAUCAGCAUGCUAUGCAGAAAUAACAGUGGGAAGCAGGAACUAUUGGAAGGGCAUGGGUUUGAAUGGGGAGGUAUGUGGCUCUACCGGGUGUUUCCUUUGAGGUUGCCUGAGUUAAUGUCAGAACUAGAAGGCUACUUAAAAGAAAUCCCCUCUUCUUCAGGGUCCAAUGCCAUGGGAACAGGAGAGCCCAGUGUCAUUGGAAUGGGCUCUUGUGUCAGCCCACGUCCACCUUCAUGCUGCCCCGUUUCCUAACGGGAAGCUGACAAUAGAAAGGAUAUAUCACUGUACCCUUCCAGGGACACAACCAUGCCUCUCUCUCAGGCAUGGUUACCAAAGUUCUUUAAACCUUGCUAGGCCUAACUUCUUGUCUCUAGGGCUUCUGGGGCUCCUCAGGUGCUCACAAUGUCUUCAUUCAUUCAGCAGGUGCCAGGAGAGUCUGGCCCAUGUUGUAGCAUGUGUGACACAUAGAGUCUAUGAACCCCCAAGGGUGGGAAGUUUAUUGCCCCCACAAGACAGAGUGACUUGGCUCUUUUGAGUGACACGGCCACCUAUGGGAUAAUAGCUUCAUGCCCUGGGCUUACUGUUUGGAAAGACUGAGGCAGUCAGUGUCUAGCUGGGACCUAAGUCCUGGGAAGGGGGAGUCCAGUCCGAUGCCUAGCUAGUAUCUGUUAUGUUCUGCUGCUCCACAGGAUGGAAAAUUUUCACUGGUUCCCACAGUGGCUUUUAUGAGUUUUAUCUACAUGUUUUUCUGUAUCAGCUGGAGAUUUUUAGAUUAUCUGCACUAAAUUUAAAUAAAAUAUAUCUAAAAUGCAAAGAAGAAGAAUUAUAUUACCAGCAGGAUUAGAAUUAGUAAAAAAAAAAUGAUUGGGAAAAUAGGCAAGAUAUGGUUAGAGGAACAUGAGACUAUAUUGGGGCCCUUUUUCUCUUUGCCAAUUGCUUUAUUUCCUCCAAUUUUAUUUUUAGAUUUUACAUCAUAUAUGUUUAGAAUAUAUAUACAUAAAACACUAAUAUGUACAUAAAACACUAAUAUGUAUAUACAUAUAUAUAUAUUAGUGUUUUGUCUACAAGCAUAAUAUGUACCAUGUGCUUGCAUGGUGCCUGAGGAAGUCAGAAGAAGAUGUCAGAGUCCUUGAACUGAAAUUGAUGACCGCCAUGUAGAUUCUGGUAACCAAACCUGGGUUUUCUGUAAAAGCAGCAGAUGCUCUUAACUGCCGAGCCAUCUUGGCAGCCUUCUUCCUUCCCUCUUCUUUUGUGGGAAAACAGGAUAUUAUUUACCCUGGUCGGACAUUCAACUCUGGAGUUCACUGUAGCUAAAGACCAUCUGAUGCUCCUGCAUCUACUUUGUAAGCACCGAGAUCACAAAGAUGAUGUAGCACACAGUUUAUGCCAUCCUGGGAAUGGAACCCCAGGCUUUGUGCAUGCUAAGUGAUGUUGUGACACUCACUGUUUCUCCCAUGGGAAUUACCAGAGAGGCAGUAGAACAGGUGGAACAGGGUGGCUUGUGGAAGGUAGAGAGGUCCCUAGACGGUCUUUGCUGUGGAAUCUUGGCAGACACCUUUGUUUCAAUGUGUGUCCACUCUGGUAAUCCUCCAGACUCCAAGACAGAGCUCAUUUUGGGCCCUGGAACUUCCUCCCUGGGUGCCCAUGUUAGAGAGAAUGCUGGCAGAAGAUACAGAGCUUUGGUCACACACACAGUCCCAUGACAGGUUCUACUGCACACAGCAAGAGCCCCACACAACUUGUUGGGUAGCACUUGAGCUGUGUGAGAGAAACCGAAUGUUUAGCCUUCAUAUUUUUUUUUGUCAGAAUAUCAGAAUUUUGGCACUUGAAAACUUCCUCCCUACCCCUGAAAGUUUCUAAUUUCUGGUAGCAUGGACCUGUUGUCCCUCCACUAGGGGUGUCCCACAUGUGGUCAUGAUUUGCAUCACUAUAGAACUUCUAUAAAUACACUCCCAAACAUUUGUGGAUAAAAUAUCAGGUCACAAUGUCAAGAGGUUGGACAUUUCUGAGUUUUCAAGUUCAUUAGACUUUGAAAAAAUAUGUUUUGUCUAGAAAGAAAGGAAAUGUAGGCUUUAACUAUUUUGUGGGAAAGACUCAGAAAUAUUCUGAAAUAACUUCCCAGGAGUAAUUGUGAACACUCUGUCGAUUUGACCACAUUGAACUUGGGCUCUUCAACGUAGAAGCAUUAUUCUUACUCAGUUCUACUCUCUCUAACGGGUUCCGUGGCUCUCAGUAAUGCUGUCCUGCAUAUGUGACUCACCUCGCUAUUUUGAGAGUUGAGACACAGGGCAAGUCCCCUUGAUGGCUGACAUGAUGCACCUGGUGAUGACCAUCUUCCCCAAAAGUUCAGUUUCAAGCACAGCAGGGAGUAGCCUGGUUGCACCUCAGCCUGGGGGGGGGGUCUCAAGAAGCAGUUCAUGCCUGAGUGGUAAUCCUGCAUUAUGUCAGGAAAAAAGUACAAAAGCACACACCAGGGAGGAUGCUGGAACCUUGGCCACCCACUCGUUCUUCACAUUUCAGUCCUGGCACCCCUGGGGACGCUCUGCAGUGGGGGCCUCUCCAAGCUCUACAAACAACUGAGACAUUUCCAUCCAAUGUUCCCUAUUUUAAUUUGUAGUGUGAAGGCAACCUGGCCGGCUGUCUGGUUUGGUUUUCUGGAUCAGAAGGCCGGGAGAGGAAAUUGACUUGAGCUGGAUGGGUCUGGGGUUCAUUUGCUCUGAGGCAAUCGGAUAUCGGGGCACAGGGGAAGCUCUCCAAACUCGCAGCAUGUGUGCACUUUGCUUUGUGGAAGUUUAAAACAUCCGCACUUAGGCUCAGCAGGGGACGACAGAAGGGCAGUUCUAAGCCAGAGUUGGGACAGAGUAUAGGGUGAUGUUCCUGGGAAACUUAGAGUCUAGAUGCAGCCCCUGGGGGAAGCCAGUGGGCCCCAGGACCUUCUUACUGACUUGGGACAAUGUGCUGCUGCUCCCUUUCUCUCCUCAUUAACUUGAAGGUCUUCUGGAGAAAGUCACAGAAAUACCAGGGAGAAGUAGGUGUGCAAAAGCCAUCAUACCUUUCUGGGAGGGAACGACAUUUAUCCCCUCACCCAACACUGAUACACUGAUACGUGCAAGGCAGCUCUGGAAGGUCCUAGAGACAGGUGGACCUGGGGGCUUGUGUCCACUUCUUGUGCUGUGUAUAAUGUUCAAGGGACCUUGGACCUAUUGGGCUCUUGAGUCUGUAAAUGCCCACAGUGAAAGGUUGCUGUAGUCAUCGCAGACUCUUCUGUACUGAGCCCCAUCCACUCUCAGGUUAGAAAAUAAGUCUUAGCUUGAGCAGAGACAACACACCUAAGAGUGCAGCCCAUUAAUUUGCUGAAGGUCUCCUCUUUCUGCCACAAGGCAGCACUUAGUGGCCCUUUUGUUUGGCUUGAUUUGUCUUAAAAGGGAAGCAUCUCAGCAUGGAUGCAGGUUCCCCAUAUCUUUACGUGUUUUCAAAAUGUCCACUGUGGAAGGGCUGGAUGGAAAUCUCAAUGCUCUAGUUCUCCCUUUCCUGUAUGCCAAGUGCUUCCAAAUAAAAAGUAGAUACAAUUCUGAAGCUUUCCUGGAGAGGUUCAAAUCAGGAGUCUUUGGGCUACAAGGAAACGGACUCGGACAUCUGAAUCAGAAGAGGCUGAGUCUGACUAACCGUAGAAUUUGCUAUGUUGGUGGUAGUUGCUGGAUACAGUCAGAUGUCCAGAUUCUCAGAUUUCCUUUCCUUCAGCAUAUGCUGCUUUGGCUCUUUGCUCGCUCAGACCAUACUACCCUCCCCAUACAGUGCUAAAAAUGAUUCUGUCUCUCUGCCACCAUCUAGCAAAGAGAACCAGUUCCCUGAAAGGCCACUGCUGACUUUUGCUCUUGGACCAGGCACCAAGGCUGGAGCUCUAUAAUGGACAGAUGGGCCAAGUUCAGCCACUCAGGGGGGGUCUUCCUGAGGCACCUGGGUGAAGGGGUGGGACGGUCAGCUCCCCUAGCAACCAAGUGUGAAGCACUUGGUAAGCUAGAACCUUGGCAGUGUUUCUUUAGCCUUUGUCUUGCAGAUUUUAAAACAUAUCUUGACCUUGGUAAGUUUCCAAGCUGAUAGGAGUGAUUUAUAAAUAUUGGGCUAAGAAUAUAACCUAGUUGGUAAAGUGCUUGUGCUACAAGCUCUAGAAGGUUCCUCAAGGUCUCACUGGGAGAAAAGGUCAUGGUAGCAAAUACUUGUAAUCCCAGGGUCUAGAAGGAGAGACAGGUUCCCCUGGACAGCCAUCCUAACCCCAAAGAGAAGCCAAUGAGAGUUCCUACCCCCAUCCUAGCCCAAAAAAAGAAGCUCCAAGCCAUUGAGAGUUCCCCAAACUCAAGACUAUCCUUUAGCCUCUACACGAAUAGCUCCUAAGCCUCUGUGUGGAGAGUUUUCUAACUCAAGGACACAAACAUAUCCACUCUAUUCACAGGUGCUCAUUGUAAUUUCUGCAGCGCUCAGAGGCUGUGGGGUGUUCACAGACAUAUCCUUGCUCUGAUGAGGAAGGCUGAAUAGAAUACAUGUCUUAAAAAGAGGUACCUGUAUACAGUGUUGGUGUAGCCAGUAGGGAUGGUUGACAUUAAAGAUGAUGAUGGCCUGAGGUUGAGCAACCAAUACAUAGAUAAUAGUGCAUCAUGCGUGUCUGUGUAUAUGGAUGCAGAUAUUAGUGUAUGCUAUGUGUACAUGUGCGUAUAUAUCUGCAUAUAUGUGUCUAUAUGCAUACCUGCAUGCCUGUGUGUGACUGUGUGAAUAUGUGUGUGGCUAUGUUGCAAAUGUGUAUUUAUUUAGAUGUGUGUGUGUGUGUGUGUACAUGUUGGUUUUUAUUCCAUUAUAAGGACAUAUUGUAUUGGCAUGGAUUAUUUGGCUACUGGACAUUGCUGCCAUGUCUAGCUUGGAGAUAGGAAUAAAAAGCUAUUUCAAAAUUUAUGUACAUUUUUCCUGUGGUUCUGUUUUUAUUGUU